rnacentral:lncRNA from 1 species
UGCGGGAUAGUAGUACAACAAAGGAGUUAUUAAAGAUAUGUCAAUAGCUACAUGUAUAUAUAUUAAGAGGAUUCAAUUAUACUGGACUUCUGAUAUUAGCGAUCAUCAAUUGACUAUUAUCAUUUUUUAAGUUACCACCAACUUUAAAUGUGUUCAAUUUGCCUGUCCGUCUAUCCGUCCGUCCAUCAUACUUCAGUUUCAGUUAGAAAUGCUUUGACCAAAUGAUUCUAUUAUUGGUUUGUACAGCUUAAUAUUAUGUUACAGGUCAAUUUUGUGAUUAAUGCUGUUGGAAUAACAUCUCAGAUGGGUGUGUGCCAUAAGAAAUUAAGAAUGGUCUUACAAUUAUUAGGGCCAUAUCUAUCUUGCCCUACCAGUAAGCCAGGUUUGCCCGGCUAUUGCAAUCCCAUGAAGUUCAUCAUCUGUUAACUUUCAAAAAUUGAUUAUAAGAUGAUGAACUCGGAACAAGGUCCGACUAAACUCAAUUAUCUUUUCAAGUAUCUACUUGUAUGCAAC